CCUUUUUAGUAAGCAAUGGUUUAUUGUUGCUUACUGAUGCAAAUUAAUUUCUCCACUGUAUCCUAUAUUCUCAACUUCUCACCAACAACAGUGACUGCAGUCAUCGUGCGAAUUAUGUCUUUUUUCCAUAUGUUGAUGUUGCUUUAGGAGCAUUACCCAACUUAUACACAGUUCCUGUGUAAUUUGGCCUCCAACUGUUCGUAAAAAAAAUAUUUAAGAUCACCUAUGUCUUCAGAUGUGAUAAAAAAAUUUGCAGCGAAACAAGUAAGAAAAAGAAACUGAAAUAUAAUAUAUUAUAAUAUACUGUUUUUUGUUAUUAUAACAUUAUUUAUCCAUCACUGCAUUUGCUUGUUUUUUUUUUUUUUAGAUUCUGAGUGGAGCAAAUAAAAUAUUGGUUUUACGAAGAUGAUACAGCUUAAAUUCCUUUCCACUUCAUACAGACUUAGGUCAAUUAAUUUAACGAAAAAUUGUCUCAUCAUUUGUUUAAACAUUUCAUUUGACAUCUUGGAUUUAAAACGUAAUAAAUAAAUAUAGUAAUCAACAAACGCACACAGCGGCGGCGAAUAUUAUGAACAGAAUGAAGUACCUACGAAUAAACUGCACAAGCUGACACGAUUGUGUGCCAUAUCCAUAUCGCAUAACUGGUUAAGUUUCAUAAAAUUUGUCUAACAACAAUCUAUUUAGGCAUAUAAUGUUUGAAACGUAAAAUACAAAAUCUAAUAAUUUUAAGAUUCAUUAGAACUUCUUGUUAUCAUAAAAAGUAAGAUAUGACACAAAUGUCUUCUGCAUAGUGUUGGAACGUUUUGAGCGCAGAAAUACGAGAAAUGUACAUGUAUUACCGAUUAUCGGAGUUAUUUGGGAAUUUACCUACUCGUGCAACCUUUUUCCACAUGAGCUGUUAGGCAAUGAAUGGGAGCCGUUUGGGUGCCGACCUCAAAAAUCGUUUGUAUGGAAAUAUUUUUCAAAAUAAUUUAGAAGUCAGAUAACAUAUUGUGAAAAAGUGGUUCAGAGACAAGCCCAGAGAAUUUUUGUCAAAAGAAUAUCCUUGUUGAUUUGUGAGAUAAAUGUAUUCGUGUAGGUAUAGUAUGGGACUAUGUCAAAAGUAAAGGAAAACAUAUGUAAUUAAAUAUAUAUCAAAAAAGAUUUUAUAGUCAUUUGUUGGUCUACAUAUUAAAACCCUCAUAUAUAAAUUUAUAAAUAAUAAAUAAUCACUCUUAUUAGGUCAUACAGUUAACAUUUUAAAACGGACUAGGUACCUACUAACCAUGACUGAAAUAUAUUGUAUUUAUUACAUUAUUAUAUUUUAAUGUAUAAAUUAAAUAUGUUAAUCAUGCUACUAAAUUACAAAAUAAAUAUAAUUUUCUUCUUGGAAAAUUUCAAAUUAAAUAUGUUGGUAAGUUGUUAAUAAUAUCUACUACAUUAUUACUGUUUAAUAUCUUUUACCUUGUAAAUAUAUAAAUAAGUUAUUUAAAAUUAAUUUAAAUAGGUGCAUUAGAAAUAUAAUUGUUCUGAUAAAAAAACAGCAAGUAUAAUUUGGUUUUCUUUAUAUUUUUUACAUUUGGUCAAUAGAUGUUUUACUGUUAUUAUUUUCUUUACUUUUUAUUUUUAGUCAUGUUAUAUAUCAGUGGAAUUUGGUGUGCCCAGUUUUGUGGGUGAUAAAUGUAUAACUAAUAGAUGAAUCAUCUAAGUAGUUCUAUUGAUUAGUAUUAGUAUUUUUUAUUAUUAUUAUAAUUAUUAUUUUAAAUACUUAUACAUAUUUUAUUAAUUUCAUGGAAUUCGAUAACACAACUUGUUCAUUUGGAUUUUAAAUUAAUUACCAACAGUCCAUAUAUUCUAUAUCAAAUUUUAAAUCUCAUCAGUCACUUUUACUAAUGCUUGUUAUGAAUUUAUGUAGACCACAUACUAAAUUUAAAUCAGUUUGCCAUAUAUCAAAGUAGCACUGGUACCUUAGAGGUGUAUCAUAAUAUAAUUGUUUUAAAAUAAUGAUAAAUUAGGAUUAAGAUUUUAUUCAAAUAUGAGGCCUGACAAUUAAAAAUGUUACCAAAGAAAAACAUUGGUUUAUUACACAUCCUGCGUCAUGUUGAGGAAAUAUUGCUUACCAGUAUCUAAAUACUGUGAUGUAUUACAACUAGCCAAUAUAUAAUAUUAUUAAUUCA
rnacentral:lncRNA from 1 species